rnacentral:rRNA from 1 species
CCUACGGGUGGCAGCAGUAGGGAAUUUUCCACAAUGGGCGAAAGCCUGAUGGAGCAACGCCGCGUGGGUGAAGAAGGUCUUCGGAUCGUAAAACCCUGUUGUUAGAGAAGAAAGUGCGUGAAAGUAACUGUUCACGUUUCGACGGUAUCUAACCAGAAAGCCACGGCUAACUACGUGCCAGCAGCCGCGGUAAUACGUAGGUGGCAAGCGUUAUCCGGAUUUAUUGGGCGUAAAGGGAGCGCAGGCGGUCUGUUAAGUCUGAUGUGAAAGCCUGCGGCUUAACCGGAGUAGUGCAUUGGAAACUGGGAGACUUGAGUGCACAAGAGGCGAGUGGAAUUCCACGUGUAGCGGUGAAAUGCGUAGAUAUAUGGAAGAACCCCAGUGGCGAAGGCGGCUUUCUGGACCGUAACUGACGCUGAGGUUCGAAAGCGUGGGUAGCAAACAGGAUUAGAUACCCUAGUAGUC